UAUCUCUGUAAAACAAAUAUUGAUCUUUUCAAUGUAUAAUUUUUACUAUCUACUGAUCUCUUGCAUUAAAACUAUGAGUCACGUUUCUAUAUAUAUUUUAGCAAUUGUCUCGAAUGGAGGAUGAUUCCGACUCAAUUGUUUGAAAGACUGAUCAUUGACAGUGUAUUUGUAAUGCAAUUUUGCUAUCGCAAAUUACAAUUACUAUUUAAGACAUGUGUUUACUACAGAUAAGAAAUUGUUUCUUUUUACAGAAAUAAACGCAUGUCGAAAAAUCGAUCAUCGUUUUGCAACUGACGUGCUGCAAAUUGGCAAGAAAGAGAAUUUUUUGAGCGAUGAAUCAUCCGAAUUAUCUUACACACACCUCUUGGAAUUUAUACAACUUCACACACACGCCCGCUCCGUAUGCCGCGAAUACGUCUUGAUUACCAAUCAUCCACGUUAAUCCCACGACUGUGUUGUCCACGGAAAUGGUUCGCUGGCCGACAUGCUACGUAAUGUAAUUCACAAUUACGUAACGAAAAGAUAAAAUUGACUGAUGUGAAAUAAAAUAAAUUUUCGUAAACAU